AUUGAACGCUGGCGGCAUGCCUUACACAUGCCAGUCGAACGGUAACAGGUCUUCGGAUGCUGACGAGUGGCGAACGGGUGAGUAAUACAUCGGAACGUGCCCAGACGUGGGGGAUAACGAGGCGAAAGCUUUGCUAAUACCGCAUACGAUCUAAGGAUGAAAGCAGGGGACCGCAAGGCCUUGCGCGUUUGGAGCGGCCGAUGGCAGAUUAGGUAGUUGGUGGGAUAAAAGCUUACCAAGCCGACGAUCUGUAGCUGGUCUGAGAGGACGACCAGCCACACUGGGACUGAGACACGGCCCAGACUCCUACGGGAGGCAGCAGUGGGGAAUUUUGGACAAUGGGCGAAAGCCUGCUCCAGCAAUGCCGCGUGCAGGAUGAAGGCCUUCGGGUUGUAAACUGCCUUUGUACGGAACGAAAAGGCUCUGGCUAAUACCUGGGGCACAUGACGGUACCGUAAGAAUAAGCACCGGCUAACUACGUG
rnacentral:rRNA from 1 species